GGUGGCUCAGUGGUAGGGUGCUUGCCUUGCAUGCAUGAAGCCCUGGGUUCGAUUCCUCAGCACCA
rnacentral:tRNA from 1 species